rnacentral:misc_RNA from 1 species
UAGAAUCCCCCAGUCUUCUUACUGCUCUAGUUUCUGGCAUGAGUGGCACAUCAUGAACAGUCAUAAUAUUUGUUAUUUACUGCUGCCAUUCUUGAAGACUCAUUUAUGGCAAAGAACUUCAUGCUUUUGUAAAAUGAAUGACCUGAAUGACUUAUUCCGAUCUUCUUCCUUAUAAGCUCAUCUGUUUUACCUCGAUUUCCAGCAUCAAUCCCUUUACCCGAGUUCCCAUCCACCCUAGAGAAGAGCAUAGCUCGAGUGUCAUAUAAUUUUUAAGGUUUUCUUCACCAUGAGAAUGUAUAUGUGACAAAUCAUCUCCAUCAUAAUAGAAUGCAGAAGGACCUGAACUAUAAACAUCCCAAGCAUCAACUUCCCCUAUAAUACUCAUAUCCUCUUUAGAACAAGCAUAAAAUCGAGAUUUCUUUUUGCAGCAUGUGGGAACAAUCCGUGAAGUACUUUUGAUCUGACAGAGGAAUCUGGACUCAGGAUCUUGCUUUUCAGAAGUACUUCCCCACAGAAUAAUCCGUGAAGAUCGAAUCUAACUCCUGACAGUGCACUCUCCGGUCAAUUUCUUUGGCUGCAGGAACGAAGUUCAAGUGUCACUUUGCAACUCUGGGUCCUGCACCUCUUUUUCCUGAUCUCAUAAUUCACAGGUAUAUCUGAAAAGUGGAGCAGGGAAUGGGAUAGCAACAGAUGAGGAGGAU